UUUCAGUUACUGUCAUCUUGAUUAUGUGAGCUCGAGGAGAUUUCCCUUUAGAUUGCUCAAUGAACCAAUGGGCAAAUUGUGACCAAUCCUGUCAGUGAACUCUUCAACUCCAAUCCAUUGUAAUGUUUGGUAUCUCUGUUGGGAUGCAAAAGUGCAUUGCAAGAAUAAGUGAUCUCUAGUUUCCAUAUCUUGCUGGCACAUAACACAGUUGCCUGAUACAUUCAGAUUCCAUUGCAGCAGCCUGUUCUUGGUAGGGAGUCUAUCUUGCAGUAACAGCCACAAACUGAAGAUUGCUUUAGGUCGAGCAGCAUUCUGUAUUACCAAAUUCUUCCAAGGGACUCUAGGUGUCUCUCCNNN
rnacentral:lncRNA from 1 species